CCUACGGGGGGCUGCAGUGGGGAAUAUUGCACAAUGGGGGAAACCCUGAUGCAGCGACGCCGCGUGAAGGAAGAAGGUUUUCGGAUCGUAAACUUCUAUCAGCAGGGAAGAAGAAAGUGACAGUACCUGACUAAGAAGCCCCGGCUAACUACGUGCCAGCAGCCGCGGUAAUACGUAGGGGGCAAGCGUUAUCCGGAAUCACUGGGAGUGAAGGGUGAGUAGGCGGUAGGGCAAGUCAGAUGUGAAAGCCCGGGGCUCAACCCCGGGAUUGCAUUUGAAACUGUCUUACUAGAGUGCAGGAGAGGAGAGUGGAAUUCCCAGUGUAGCGGUGAAAUGCGUAGAUAUGCGGAGGAACACCGAUGGCGAAGGCGGCUCUCUGGACUGUAACUGACGCUGAGGCACGAAAGCGUGGGGAGCGAACAGGAUUAGAUACCCCGGUAGUC
rnacentral:rRNA from 1 species